CCUGGGAAUGCUGAGAAGAUGAUGUGCUCUGUAUGGGUGCUCUGAUGUCAUGCUCCUGAGUGCAGAGCAAAAUGAUCAGCCAUGGACACAGGACAGGGAACUGGGCAGCAGUUGUACAGAAAAGAUUUGGGAUACUGCUGGAUUCAAAGCUGAACCAGAAUCACAGAGUCAUAGAAACAUUUAAUAUGGAGAAGGCCUCUGAGUUCAUUGAGUCCAAUUAUUAACCCAACACUGCCAAGUCCAUCAUUAAACCAUGUUCCUAAGUGCCACAUCUACUUAUCUUUUAAAAAGUUCCAGGGCUGGUGACUCAACUACAUCCUUGGGCAGCCUGUUCUGAUGCUUGAUCAGCCUUUCAGUGGUAGAAAAUGGUAGAAAAAGUGGUAGAAAAAAUCCUAAUGUCUAUUUCACAUGUUCUGAGAAAAGCCCACACCACAUUAGGGUACAUAAGUGGUAAUGUUAUGUGUAAGAAACUUGUGCUGUCAUAGAUAUGAGGGGCUGAGCUCUGUUUGUUGGUGCUGGUAUUUCCUGGAGCACUGACUCCGGCUUAGCAACACACUUUGAAAAAGGUAUGGACUGAUCAGCAAGGGUUCACAAGAGCAGAGGGAAAGAGUAGAAGAAAUAUGGGUAAUGAAUGAUGAGGAGAAACCCUGCGGGGCGAGCGAGCUGCUCUCGUUAACCGGGGAGCGCUGAAACAGCCGACACAGCCGCUCCAGAAAUGCUGAUGGAAAAUGCCAGCCUGCCCCGCCAGCCCAGCAGCCUCCCAAGGCCAGCGGCGAGGGGAGACCUUUGACUGUAAGGGAAGAAGUUCUGACUAAGAAGCAAACCAGGAAUUUGGAAUAUAAGCGGGAAAUAAGACACCUGAGGUCAUGGGGCGAAAUUACUGGCUGGUGUGUCUUUUUUAUUUUUUAUUUUCUGAUAAAAAAUCUUCCUCUUUGCUCUAUUUUUUUCUUCUUCUUCAUACUUCUUUCUAAAGUAUGGAAAUCUAGAAGAAGGG
rnacentral:lncRNA from 1 species